rnacentral:rRNA from 1 species
CACGUAGGCACCAAGCGUUGUCCGGAUUUAUUGGGCGUAAAGAGCUCGUAGGCGGUCUGUCGCGUCGGUCGUGAAAACUUGGGGCUUAACCCUGAGCUUGCGGUCGAUACGGGCAUGACUGGAGUUCGGCAGGGGAGACUGGAAUUCCUGGUGUAGCGGUGAAAUGCGCAGAUAUCGGGAGGAACACCGGUGGCGAAGGCGGUUCUCUGGGCCUGUACUGACGCUGAGGAGCGAAAGCGUGGGGAGCGAACAGG